UUCAGAAGCGAGAAGGCAUUUAUUUCUGCACACUUCCAGGAGAUCCUGCUGAAUUCAUUUUAUUGGGGCUAUUUCUGAUUGCAGAUUUCUCACAUGGACACCUGCAGUUGCCGAACCAAUCUAUCAACCAAAGAGUUCCGAGGACAGAGAGAUGGAUGAAUGCUAGUUAAUCCAAGAUGACUACAAUGAAAAGAUUUUUAUUUGGAUCCUGAAGUGGAAAGAAGGAUAAAGAAGAAAGGAAGGAAACUAGCAUCUACUAAGUACAAUAUUAAGUUGGCUUCUUCAUAUACUUUAUCACAUCAAUCCUUACAAUAAUUCUGUGUGUUUGGUAAUAAAUUGAACCAUAUAAAUAUGGUUUUGUAAAUU
rnacentral:lncRNA from 1 species